AGACUUCCUUUUCACAGUGCUUCUGCCACCUAGCAUCUCCUUUGGCUUAUCCUGGCAAUUAAAAUGAAGACUGUUUCCAUGCGGGCCCCCGUGAAAGGGAUUCCUGUGUAUCUCAAGCAACAAAGAGAGCUGUGGAGCAAGGAGAUUCCCUGUGUAAUCGGGAGCACUGGAUGUGAAUCCCAGGUCUGGCAUGGGAACCUUGGUGAGUGAUGCUGAGUGGAAUGUUACGUAUCACCAUCAUCAUCAGCAUCCAUCCCACCACCAUCAUCACAACCACCACCACCACCAUCAUCAUCAUCAUCAUCAUCAACAGCUUUUUCCAAGCAAGUCUGGAAUAAGAAGAGAAGUCGGAGGAUUUAGGCUUUGUACUUCCUGGCAGCCCCAGCCCCUGAGGCUCAUGCGAUCCUGCUCACCUUCUCUCCCUGACCCCGAACCCUAAGGGGCUCCCGCACUCCAGAUCGUAGCUGGCUCUUCUCUAUUCUUUUCCUUAUUCCAGCCAUUAGAGUCUUUUGGGACUGGCUUCUCAACCUUUGUCACAUUGGGCUUGAUAUUUUUAGUUUCUUUCAGUGGUAAAUAUUAGAUUAUUCAGAAAAAUUGUUGUCCCAGAUUUCCACACAUGAUGGUAUAGAUACAGAAUAUACACUUAUAAAAUAAGCAGAAAUGAUAUCUCAUGAACAUUUGCUAGAAUUGAAAUAGAAGAGGUGCAGGCAGCAUCCCCAUAGCUUAAAAAUGAUCUGCUAAGAUGUGGGCAUGACUUUUCCCCACAAAACUUGCCACUCAUUUGAUAUUAUAGUGCGGGGGAAUAGUCUUCCUGACAUUUUAGUGGUUGUUAUUGCUGUAUUUUUUUUUUAGGGCAUAUUUUUUUAAGGGGAGAAAAUGAAGAAUAUGUAAGGAAAAAAAUCAGUACUUAGCUGGGUUACCUUUUAUUCUUAGGACAUUUACUUGUUAGCAUUACAGUCUUAAAAUAGUCUUCUACCAAAUACAUUACCAACAGGCAUUUCCAAAAUGCUGAGAGUACUCUAUCUAGUCUCAAAUUCUCAAGUUCAAAAAAAUGGAAUGCCAGUUCCUCCAUGGGCUGACACAGCCUCAUUAUUAUGGCCAUAUUUAUUUACUUAUUUAUUGUAGUAAAAUAUACAUAAUAUAAAAUUCAUCAUUUAAACCAUUUUAAGCAUACAGUUCAGUGCCUUUAAGUACAUUCACAUUGUUAUAUAAUCAUCACUACUAUCCAUCUUCAAAACUUUUUUUAUCUUCUGCAAUGAAAACUAUGUACCCAUUUAAUAAUAAUUCCUAAUUACCCCUACCCUCUGCCCGUAGCCACCACCAUUCUACUUUGUGUCUCUAUGAAUUUAACUACUGUCAGUACCUUAUGUAAGUGGAUUAGCGCCAAAUUUGUCUUUUUGCGAUUGGCUUAGUCACUUAGCAUCAUGUCUUCCAGGUUCAGUCAUAUUGCGGCAUAUGUCAGGAUUUUCUUCCCUUUAGGGUAACACUUAUUGAGCUCUUACUGCCUACCAGGCCUUGUGCUAUGCGCUUCAACAGACCUCACAAUCACCCUAUGAGGUAGGGAGUCUCACUAACUCCAUUUCACAGAUGAAGAAACUGAAGACAGGAAUGUUUAGAAAGCUGCCUGAUAUGGUUUAGCUCUGUGUCCCCACCCAAAACUCAUGUUGAAUUGUAAUUCCCAGUGUUGGGGGAGGGACCUGGUGGAAGGUGAUUGGAUCGUGGGGGUGGAUUUCCCCCUGGCUGUUCUCGUGAUAGUGAGUGAGUUCUCACAAGAUCUGAUGGUUUAAAAGCGUGUAGCACCUCCCCCUGCACGCUCUCUCCUGAUCUGCAAUGGUCAGCUGUGCUUGCUUCCCCUUCGCCUUCCA
rnacentral:lncRNA from 1 species